AGUGCACCAAUAGGUCAGGGAAACACUAGUUGAAAAUAGCUGUAAUAUCAGUGAGCCACCACACCAUUAAGACAGAGAUGAAAACACACCUACAAGGUACCCCAGAUAUGUACAUAAUUUGGCUCAUUUCUUGUGGAAGUAGUGACCAAAGACCAGAAAUUGUGGGUGGUUGCUGAGGCUCUGGACGCCAUCUUUGAUCAUGUGUUUGCAGAAGAUCAUCUGGACCUGUUGUCAUGGAGAUUAGGGUAACAAACAAACUCCAGACCUUAUGGUACCACAGCUGACAGCUAAGAUUAAUUAACAGAGGAAAAGCCUAGGAGACCACUUUACUAUCAGCGUGACAGCGAGGACAAAUCUGGUGCACUUCAUCAAAUGCAAAUCUUGACCAGAAGAUUGACUUGGACA